rnacentral:rRNA from 1 species
CCUACGGGAGGCAGCAGUGAGGAAUAUUGGUCAAUGGACGUGAGUCUGAACCAGCCAAGUAGCGUGCAGGACGACGGCCCUAUGGGUUGUAAACUGCUUUUAUGCGGGGAUAAAGUGCGGCACGUGUGCCGUUUUGUAGGUACCGCAUGAAUAAGGACCGGCUAAUUCCGUGCCAGCAGCCGCGGUAAU